rnacentral:rRNA from 1 species
AGAAUCAACGCUGGCGGCGUGCCUAACACAUGCAAGUCGCACGAGAAAGGGGAGCAAUCCCUGAGUACAGUGGCGCACGGGUGAGUAACACGUGAAUAAUCUACCUCCGAGUGGGGAAUAACUGAGAGAAAUCUUAGCUAAUACCGCAUAAUACCCACGGGUCAAAGCAGCAAUGCGCUUGGAGAGGAGUUCGCGGCAGAUUAGUUAGUUGGCGGGGUAAUGGCCCACCAAGACGAUGAUCUGUAUCCGGCCUGAGAGGGCGCACGGACACACUGGAACUGAAACACGGUCCAGACUCCUACGGGAGGCAGCAGUGGGGAAUUUUGCGCAAUGGGGGAAACCCUGACGCAGCAACGCCGCGUGGAGGAUGAAGCCCCUUGGGGUGUAAACUCCUUUCGAUCGGGAAGAUAAUGACGGUACCGAUAUAAGAGCCCGGCUAACUUCGUGCCAGCAGCCGC